UACGUAGGGGGCAAGCGUUGUCCGGAUUUAUUGGGCGUAAAGAGCGUGUAGGCGGCCAUACAGGUCCGUUGUGAAAACUCGAGGCUUAACCUCGAGACGUCGAUGGAAACCGUAUGGCUAGAGUCCGGAAGAGGAGAGUGGAAUUCCUGGUGUAGCGGUGAAAUGCGCAGAUAUCAGGAAGAACACCCGUGGCGAAGGCGGUUCUCUGGGCCUUACCUGACGCUGAGGAGCGAAAGCGUGGGGAGCGAACAGG
rnacentral:rRNA from 1 species